rnacentral:rRNA from 1 species
UGGGGAAUUUUGGACAAUGGGCGAAAGCCUGAUCCAGCAAUGCCGCGUGUGUGAAGAAGGCCUUCGGGUUGUAAAGCACUUUUGUCCGGAAAGAAAUCCUUGGCUCUAAUACAGCCGGGGGAUGACGGUACCGGAAGAAUAAGCACCGGCUAACUACGUGCCAGCAGCCGCGGUAAUACGUAGGGUGCAAGCGUUAAUCGGAAUUACUGGGCGUAAAGCGUGCGCAGGCGGUUUGCUAAGACCGAUGUGAAAUCCCCGGGCUCAACCUGGGAACUGCAUUGGUGACUGGCAGGCUAGAGUAUGGCAGAGGGGGGUAGAAUUCCACGUGUAGCAGUGAAAUGCGUAGAGAUGUGGAGGAAUACCGAUGGCGAAGGCAGCCCCCUGGGCCAAUACUGACGCUCAUGCACGAAAGCGUGGGGAGCAAACAGGAUUAGAUACCCUGGUAGUCCACGCCCUAAACGAUGUCAACUAGUUGUUGGGGAUUCAUUUCCUUAGUAACGUAGCUAACGCGUGAAGUUGACCGCCUGGGGAGUACGGUCGCAAGAUUAAAACUCAAAUGAAUUGACGGGG